rnacentral:rRNA from 1 species
UAGGGAAUAUUGGACAAUGGGCGAAAGCCUGAUCCAGCAAUGCCGCGUGAGUGAUGAAGGCCUUAGGGUUGUAAAGCUCUUUUACCCGGGAUGAUAAUGACAGUACCGGGAGAAUAAGCCCCGGCUAACUCCGUGCCAGCAGCCGCGGUAAUACGGAGGGGGCUAGCGUUGUUCGGAAUUACUGGGCGUAAAGCGCACGUAGGCGGCGAUUUAAGUCAGAGGUGAAAGCCCGGGGCUCAACUCCAGAACUGCCUUUGAAACUAGGACGCUAGAAUUGCGGAGAGGUGAGUGGAAUUCCGAGUGUAGAGGUGAAAUUCGUAGAUAUUCGGAAGAACACCAGUGGCGAAGGCGGCUCACUGGACGCAUAUUGACGCUGAGGUACGAAAGCGUGGGGAGCAAA